rnacentral:misc_RNA from 1 species
GAUGAGGAACGCAGCGAAAUGCGAUACUUGGUGUGAAUUGCAGAAUCCCGUGAACCAUCGAGUCUUUGAACGCAAGUUGCGCCCGAAGCCAUUAGGCCGAGGGCACGCCUGCCUGGGCGUCACACGUCGUUGCCCCCCCAUCUACUCCUUCGGGAUUGCGGGGGGCGGAUGAUGGCCUCCCGUGCGCCACGCCGCGCGGUUGGCAUAAAUGCCAAGUCCUCGGCGACGCACGCCACGACAAUCGGUGGUUGCGAAACCUCGGUUGCCCGUCGUGUGCGGUCGUCGCGCAUCGAGGGCUCGAAAAAAUUGCCGGGUUCCGGCUCGGCUUUCAACGCGACCCCAGGUCAGGCGGGGUUACCCGCUGAAUUUAAGCAUAUCAAUAAGCGGAGGA